rnacentral:rRNA from 1 species
ACGGGAGGCAGCAGUGGGGAAUAUUGGGCAAUGGGCGCAAGCCUGACCCAGCAACGCCGCGUGAAGGAUGAAGGUCUUCGGAUUGUAAACUUCUUUAAUCGGGGAAGAAAAGAAUGACCUACCCGAAGAAUAAGCCACGGCUAACUACGUGCCAGCAGCCGCGGUAAUACGUAGGUGGCGAGCGUUAUCCGGAUUUACUGGGUGUAAAGGGCGCGUAGGCGGGGAUGCAAGUCAGAUGUGAAAUCCAUGGGCUUAACUCAUGAACUGCAUUUGAAACUGUAUCUCUUGAGUGUCGGAGAGGUAGAUGGAAUUCCUAGUGUAGCGGUGAAAUGCGUAGAUAUUAGGAGGAACACCAGUGGCGAAGGCGAUCUACUGGACGAUAACUGACGCUGAGGCGCGAAAGCGUGGGGAGCAAACAGGAUUAGAUACCCUGGUA